rnacentral:rRNA from 1 species
UACGGAGGGUGCAAGCGUUAUCCGGAUUCACUGGGUUUAAAGGGUGCGUAGGUGGGCAGGUAAGUCAGCGGUGAAAUCCCCGAGCUUAACUUGGGAACUGCCAUUGAUACUAUCUGUCUUGAAUACCUUGGAGGUGAGCGGAAUAUGUCAUGUAGCGGUGAAAUGCUUAGAUAUGACAUAGAACACCAAUUGCGAAGGCAGCCCACUACACGGUCAUUGACACUGAGGCACGAAAGCGUGGGGAUCAAACAGG